rnacentral:misc_RNA from 1 species
CCUUGCCCCUGAUUCUAGCGGAAAACCCGCAGGAUGGAAAGCUUUAGAAUACUUGCUAGUAAAGAGCGACCGCAGGAAGCUCCUUUACUGGGGUAGUAUUCUUGCUUGAAGAACUGGGGAUUUGUAGCGGAAAGCGGGAAUAGGC